rnacentral:rRNA from 1 species
CAAGUCGUGGGGCAGCGCGGGUAGCAAUACCUGGCGGCGACCGGCAAACGGGUGCGGAACACGUACGCAACCUUCCUUUAAGCGGAGAAUAGCCCAGGGAAACUUGGAUUAAUACUCCAUAAGAUUAUGGUGUGGCAUCACACAGUAAUUAAAGCUCCGGCACUUAAAGAUGGGCGUGCGGCUGAUUAGGUAGUUGGCGGGGUAACGGCCCACCAAGCCAACGAUCAGUAACUGGUGUGAGAGCACGACCAGUCACACGGGCACUGAGACACGGGCCCGACUCCUACGGGAGGCAGCAGUAAGGAAUAUUGGUCAAUGGACGCAAGUCUGAACCAGCCAUGCCGCGUGGAGGAUGAAGGCCCUCUGGGUUGUAAACUUCUUUUAUUUGGGAAGAAACCCAUCUUUUCUAAGGUGGUUGACGGUACCAGAUGAAUAAGCACCGGCUAACUCCGUGCCAGCAGCCGCGGUAAUACGGAGGGUGCAAGCGUUAUCCGGAUUCACUGGGUUUAAAGGGUGCGUAGGUGGGCAGGUAAGUCAGUGGUGAAAUCUCCGGGCUUAACCCGGAAACUGCCGUUGAUACUAUCUGUCUUGAAUGUAGUGGAGGUGAGCGGAAUAUGUCAUGUAGCGGUGAAAUGCUUAGAUAUGACAUAGAACACCCGUUGCGAAGGCAGCUCGCUACACUAUUAUUGACACUGAGGCACGAAAGCGUGGGGAUCAAACAGGAUUAGAUACCCUGGUAGUCCACGCCCUAAACGAUGGAUACUCGACAUCAGCGAUACACAGUUGGUGUCUGAGCGAAAGCAUUAAGUAUCCCACCUGGGAAGUACGACCGCAAGGUUGAAACUCAAAGGAAUUGACGGGGGUCCGC